UCGUGGUCCAGUGGGCUCGUCACUUUGUGUAGCAAAGUCUGCUGAAAAAGUGGAGAAGUCUCAUUCUAAAAACGAGAGGCAAAAUAAUCAUGUAAGACGUUGAAAAUGUUCUAAAUAUCACAACACUUUUUAUGUACGCCAACAUAUGAGACUCUUCCCGGCACUCGUCUCCAACACACAACUCUCACUCCCUCCGGUGAGACCUGGUUUCACAUAAAAACAAACAGAAUCCAGCUGAUAAUAGAAUCAUAAGGCAUGCUGACUGCGAUGGAAACAGAGGGAGAUCAGCACCACUUGCUGGUGUCAGCGUGUAAUGCGUUGGCAUGCAGAUAUGGUUAGUGGGUGUUUGGUCCAAAGGUCACCAGGCACGCAAAUGUGGGUCGGCAACAUCUAGAGCCGAGGUGCCCUUGACCAACAAAGCUCUAAAACAGCUGUUUACCAACAAGAGACUUGGACUCACUUCCAGUGAUCUGAGUGGAGCUUCUUCCAUCAGAAAAACUUUCCUACACAUUCGAAUGUUGAAUGAGAAAAAUGAUUUUCAGAUGAGCAGGCAGAAAAACAUACAAUUCAUUUCAGUGUCAAACAAUUAAUUGACAGAGCAAGGCGGGCUUAAAAAGACAUGCCAUGCGGGGUCCGAGUUGUGUGAGUAAAAGGCAGCACUCACUUGUUGCUCGUCAAGAAAAUGACCACGCUUUGUUAUUUGACGUUGAGGCCUCUGCAGUGACUCAUGUUUCAGUAACGGAAGAGGGACAGGAGACCAAUACAAAUCUAUCUUGUUUACUUAAUAAAAGUUGCUGUUUACUUGCCGGACAUUGACAAGUAUGUUGGCGAAGAUGAGAACAAAAUAGUUUCAUAAACAUGCUAUGUGCCCGUCACAGAGAUAUUAGAAUAUAAAAACGCUCUCAACCUCUAAGCGUAGAUCAUGUAAAAACAAUACAGGAUGCAAUAUCCAUUUAACCAAACACAUACACCUAGAAAUGUGUGUUAUAUUCAAAUAGGCAUGUGUAGUUUCAAGCUAUUUCACUUCAAAUCGCUGACAACUUAUCUCACCCCAGCAACAUGCACAUUGAAUGAAGGCUGAAAUGGAGUGACGGUGGCUUAUCAUUACAGCUGAUAAUAGGACGGAACAGGAGGGAGCGGAGGACUGCAGGUUCCGUGAUGAGUCACACUCGCUGAGGGCAGUAUAUCUCGGCAGAGCUCCAAUCGCGCUCCUUUUUAUACACGCUAUUUUCACAAUAUACAGCGUAUAUUGCGUAUAUAGCGUAUAUGUGGCAGGGGAUUCCAAACAAGGCUGGAUGGCUUUAUUCAAUGAGACACUUUGAUCAUAUCUAGAGUGUCCAUGCAGCUCUGAACAUGGUGACAGCUGACAGUGACCAACAGUGCAAGCGAUGGCAAGCUGGACAAGGUAGAGAAAAGUUCAGGUUACACUACACACUGAGGAAGAGCCAUUUCUUUGCUUCUCUUUCCUGAGCUAGACAUUACCCUGCUGCCUUUAUAUCACAAAUACUUGUUUGUUGCCUUACUAAGAAUCUGAAACAAAUAGAGAGCCUUUGAUCCACAUUGACACAGGAGUGUCUUGUAAACGGUAAAAGUCGAUUAGGUGCAUUAUGUUACAAGAAAUCACAUUCAGCAUGUGGGGAUAAAAAAAUACAAUGUUUACCUUUAAAGUCUUUACUAUCUUUGAAGUAACUCACCCCAUGUGUUAUUAUAUGAGAGUGAACUGCAGAAGCUGAAGCAAGAUCUAGAAAAGCUGACAAACAGGUUGACGGUGAAGGAAAAUGAGAGCCAAGAGCUAAAAUCCAAUCUCUGAUGUAUAUAUAUGUUACUAAAAAUAUAUAUUUUUGAAAGCCUGUUGCUCACUGGCUCUGAAUACACAAUACAGAGAGACCAGGGUCACAGGAGGGGAGAUGAUUAUCAGUAUUGGCUUGGGAGUUGUGUCAUCACGUGUCUCAACCAAUGAGAGCAUUUGGCGGCGGCCCUAAGGCAGCGUUUAAAUGAGCAUGAAUCGAAACGGAAAGACAAACAGGCUGAGAUGGAAUAAUAGAGAUAGGUAGCAAACUCUUACUGAGACACUUUCUUUUUAAAUCUCUUCAAGACUGCAGAGUUGAUGAAACCAGUGAUUACCAAAGUGAUUAUUAACAUCACGAAAAGUCUGUUUUCUUUUUCUCUGACUGAGAUUCUCCACAGGAAAUGCAGAACAAACAUUAACUUCGCAGACUAAAAUGUCCCUGCAUGGUAAAUCCCAGCUGUGUCCUUACUGCUGGACCACCUCACUCUAACAACGACACAUGUUACUUAACAUAAAUCUUUGAUAGACUAUUGAUAGACCGCUUAUGCUGCUCCCUGAUAAAAAACAUGUUUUUGCACCUGUUCAGAAAAAAACGCUUCAUGAAUGCCUGUUGGAAUGUUGUCAUCGAUAGCAAUAACAGAGGACAGCAUCGUAACAGUUCCUUCCAAAAGUAAAAUCAUGUGAUCUGGCCACUGUGGUUAAAGUUACAGCUGGUAACUAUGAUAAAAAAUUACUUGUUGCAAAUUUGCUCAAAACCAGAAUCAGAAGCCUUUUAUUGCCACAGGUUACAUAUAGAGGACUCUGUGCAUUGGUGCAAUAAAGAAUAAAGUAAAAUAAGACAAAUAUACAAGCAAGAAUUAACAAUAUAAACAGAAAUGUAUUCACAUAUGUAUGUCCAUAUGUUUGCAUGGUGAAAGAAUCCAAAGUGCAUAAUGUUUCCGGGAUGGAGUAUUUGGGUCAAUGGGGGGCUCGGACCAACUGCUGACGGGAAAAAACGUUUGUGUGGCGAGAGGUCUUGGUCGUGAUGGACCGCAGCAUCCUGCCAGAUGGAAGAAGAGCCAAAGAGUCUGUGUCCAGGGUGAGAGGGGUCGGCUACAGUCCACUGUCUUCAGGGCGUUGAGCUCUAAGUUGUUUCGACUGCACCACGUCACCAGUUGGUCAAUCUCCAACCUGUAGGCGGUCUCAUUCCCUCUCAUACCAUACCUGGUGAGAGAAAGUGUUGGGAGUCA
ensembl:lncRNA